rnacentral:rRNA from 1 species
AGUUGUUGCAGUUAAAAAGCUCGUAGUUGGACCUUGGGCAGGAGGCACGGGUUGGCCGAAUGGCUCGACUCGGGUCUCCGGCCUCUAUGGGUGGUCGUGCCUUUGGUACGGUUCGCCCGGGUUACUGUGAAGAAAUUAGAGUGUUUAAAGCAGGCGAUUGCUUGGAUACAUCAGCAUGGAAUAACAAGAUAGGACCUGGUUCCACUUGUUGGUUUGGGGGCUUUGGUAAUGAUUAAUAGGGCCAGUUGGGGGCAUUAGUAUUCAGUAGUCAGAGGUGAAAUUCUUGGAUUUACUGAAGACUAACUAGUGCGAAAGCAUUUGCCAAGGAUGUUUUCAUUAAUCAAGAACGAAAGUUAGGGGAUCGAAGACGAUCAGAUACCGUCGUAGUCUUAACUAUAAACGAUGCCGACUCGGGAUCGGCAGACGUCGUUAGCGACACUGUCGGCACCGUGUGAGAAAUCAAAGUUUUUGGGUUCUGGGGGGAGUAUGGUCGCAAGGCUGAAACUUAAAGGAAUUGACGGAAGGGCACCACCAGGAGUGGAGCCUGCGGCUUAAUUUGACUCAACACGGGAAAACUCACCAGGUCCGGACAUAGUAAGGAUUGACAGAUUGAGAGCUCUUUCUUGAUUC